UGUUUACAGAAUUAUGAGAAUAAAGGCUGUUCAGUGCACACUCUAAUAUUUUAAUCUCUUGUUGGUUGAAUCCAUGGAUGUGGAAUUGCUCAUAGGCAUGCCAACUGUAUUUGCUUUAGAAGUUAACAACUCACGUUCAAUAAAACUCUUCCAAGAAAGUUUUCCAUUUUUCUGGUUUAUAGAAAAUGAAAAAUUCCAAUGUCUCAGAGUAUUGUUUUAAUAACACGAUCAAAGUAAUUAUUUUCAUUUUAGUGGUUCAGAGACAAAUAAAUGCAAUUGGUUACAUUAUUGAAACUCUAAUAGUAUUAUCACUUUUAUUGAAAUGAUUCUCCAUUGGUGUUGCCUACAGAAAUGGGACAAAGCAGACCAACUUACGAGAUGUAUUGAAUAUCAUCUUAAGAAAAGUUGUAACAACUCAUCAUAUUUACCUGAUGCUUCAAGUUUUUCAAUCUAUUCUGAGAUGGGCAGGACUUACACCAAGGUCACUUCUAGCCUCUGUUGGGUCUGAUGUUGACACAACUCAAGGUAACUAGACGAUGAUGGAGUACUAUGCUAAGAUCCUGUCUCACUAUUGAGCAUCUAUAUAUUUUUCAUUAUUUACUUUUUAUACCUGAGCUCUGUGAUCUUAAUAGUAAUUCUGUAGUGCUAGUUUUCUCAUCUCUGAAAUAUGAGUUGUGUUAAUUAUGUAAUAUUUAGGUUCCACUCAAACGUUAGCAUCCAUUGAGUUAAUGAUUAUCAAAUGUUUAUUUACCACAGAUUAUACACAUGCUGCAGGCCAUGGUAAGGGCUGAGAUGACAAAUUCUUUCAUAAUCAUAGAUUUCCAAACCAGUUGAAAGAGUAAAUAAGAAUUUCCAGUGUUAUACAGUAUCACUGAAGUGAAUGGGGCAAAUCUUGUCUGUUGCAAAAUUUCAUUCAUCUUCACACACUGGGUGGUUGGAGAAAUUUUAGAAAGGAAGAAAGCUUCAUCUGGACCCUAAGAAAAUCAUAGAUAUUAGAUCAAUAGGUCUUAAGGUUGUCAUGGAGAUUUUGAAAGCUAUAAUUUGGCUAAGUGCGCAUACCAUAAGUGCAUUUUGGUGAUCAUUCUGUAUUUAGUGCUCAUAUAUGUAUUAUGCACAUGUGUAUAUUAUUUUGUGAUUCUAAUGCAUUUUAUUACUUUGAAGUAUAGAAACCUUUCCAUGUGGGUUCCUUUAUUAUGUUUAAUAUUAUGUUUAAUAUUAAACAGUGUUUCAGUUUUUGUUUCAAAUAUCAGAAGUCACCAAGAAAACUGAUAUGCGGGAUAGCUAUUGUAUUUACUCAUAUUUCGGCCUUUCUCAUUGUUCAUUCUUUCUAAAGAUCCAAGUUUCCAUCUUUAUCAUACCCUUCUGUUUGAACAACUUCCUUUGGCUAUCCCUUAAGGAUGUCUACUAGCAACAAUCCCCACCCCCCCAACCCCACUUUUAAGGUUUAUUUCAUCUAAGAACAUGUUGAUUUGCUUUCACUCCUAUAGGGCAGUUUCACUGGAUAUAGA
rnacentral:lncRNA from 1 species